rnacentral:snRNA from 1 species
AGGAUUCCCUUAGUAACG